GACAAAUAGAGAUUAACACACACAUACACACACCACUGUCCCAGGAGCUAAUAUUCUGCACAUAGAGCCAGAAAGCAACCAGGAAUUAAGCAACAAAAUAGGCCCACAAAAUAAAGUGCUUGUCAAAUACCAGGCGAAAUAAACUACUAUCUUUUCGAGACCAGUGCAGGGGAGUAGGCUGAGGCAACAGGAAGUGCACCGAGGGUGAAGGAUUCACAUGGUCGCCUCCAAACCUGGUUUUCCGGCCACCGUUCCCCUGCACCCGAGGGUGUCUGCACUGAGCCAGGGGCUGGGAAGCAGGAAGUGUCAUUCCAUCCAGAAGCGUGCGCACUGAGGUCCCGUACCAGCUGUGACCUUGACUUUCACUUCACUUCUAUCUUCUCCUGUAAACUACUGUAACUUCUCUGCCCAGUUCCUCUGUGAGCGACCGUAUGGCUUCCUGGCAUACCCCCGCGAGAGCGCGCCAGUCCCUUCCGGAGGAUGCACGGUAUUUGGGGGAGAACACCAGUACUGCCCGGGAACUGAAGGAAGAGGUCCUAGUCCCUCUGCCCUGCAAACCUGGCUUCCUGGCCUCGGGCGGGUCACCUCGUGGCUGGAUGAAGUUCUUUCAUCACUAAAAUGAACAGCACUACGCUGGACACAACAGAACCAACCGUCUCCUCCCUCCUCUCCCCUGCAGGGAUGCCAGGUGUGGUAGCAGGAACAGUGGGUGUUCCGUCUGCUGACCUCAGAGCUGCUCUCCCUCUACUAAGCUGUAAAACUCCUUAUAAGUUAGGACCUUGCUUUAUUUCUUUGUUCCCCUAGCCCAGGGCCUAGGAGAGAUUAUGCCUGCAAUCAAUGAUAGUUGCAAAGACAUUUAAAGUAUAAAGCUUUCCAUGACUGUAAGAUAUUAUUUUUAUCUUUUUCACCCUAAAUAGCCCUUGCCAAGGCCUUUCAUAGAUAGUGUGGGAAACUCCAGAACUGAAAAAUCCAGCCCUUGUAAAACCUGUUUUGCUGUUUUCUCUUUUAAAAGAACAUGUUGCCUUUAUUUUCUUUUUUUAAGCCAAGAAUGAAAUAAAAGCUCUUUCUCAAGUCCUCAA